AUGAUGCGGAGAAGAAGAUUACCUUUGCACUCUGUAUUUAUUUUAUUUAUUUCUGCCUUCUUCUUUCCUUCAAGAGGCCUCCUGAUCGCCAUGGUCUUCAGCCUCCUCUUCCUUCUGCUGCUCAGAUUCACUGCCGGGGCUCUGGUGUGGAUCCUGAUUAUUGGGGUGCUGGCUAUCAUUGCGUAUGGAAUUUUCCACUGUUACAUAGAAUACAGGAACCUCAGCAAGGCUGGCGCUGCCACAUUCCAGUCCAUUGGAUUCACCACCAAUUUGAGUGCCUAUGGCAGCGUCAAGGAAACCUGGCUUGUGGCCUGUAGGUUGAGGCAGAAGGUAGUGGUUUGGGGAGGGACAGGGAGUGGGUGUAGGGAGGCUACAUCAAAAACGUCUGCCAGUGAUAUAUGUAGGGUAGCGGUUCUCAAAGUGUGCUCCGUGGAGCCCUUGGGGUCAGUGAAGCAUACGGAGGGACUCCGAGCUUUUCUCCUCCUCCUCCAAGCUUUUCCUUCCUUCUCCUCCCCACCUCCCCACCCCCAAAAGGCUUUUUACUCACCUUCUUCUCUGCCCAGAUCCUUUCCCCCUUGCCUUGCUUGCUUCCAAAACCCCAUUUCCCUCCCACUGCUCAGGGGAUGCUUUGGUUGUGCUUUUCCUGCAUGGCAGAAGGGAGUUGGACUGGAUGUCCACUAGGGUUUCUGCUAUUAUUAUUAUUAUUAUUAUUAUUAUUAUUAUUAUUAGUAGUAGUAGUAGUAGUAGUAUUACAAAGGCUGAAUAGCCAUCUGCUGGAGGUGCUUUGACUGUGCUUUUCCUAAAUGGCAGAAGGUGGUUGUAUUGGAUGGCCCCUGGGGUUGCUCCUAUUCCUCCUCCUCCCCCUCCUCCUCCACCUCCUCCUCCUCCUCCUAAUAAUAAUAAUAAUAAUAAUAAUAAUAAUAAUAAUAAUAAUAUAAUAAACUCUGGCAGAAACCAGUGCAGGUGGUCCCGGUGGUGAUGGGCACACUGGGUGCCGUGCCAAA
rnacentral:lncRNA from 11 species